rnacentral:sRNA from 1 species
ACGGACGGCAGUAGUCCCGGUUCAUACUCAUCAGAUAAGGCACAGCAAUAUGGCGAUGGUUAUGAUGUUUCGUCACCUUAUGGUUACAAUUGCGGGAAUGCUUCAAGUCUUGACUGCUUAUCGUUGAUUGUGGAAAGCAUAACUCCGAACAAAGGCAAAGCCAUCACAUCCCCGAAAAAGGCAACCUCCGAUGGACUUUGCAUGGUCUGAAAUAGAAGAGAAACCCGAUUUCAACGACUUAUGGUGCUACCAACGCAAGCUCAUAUGUGGACGUUAUUUUGAAAGACUGAGUACCCAUGAUGAGGGCUUCCAAAAACAUGUGAUGCUCUGUUGUCACCAUCUUGACUCUGUUUGUCCAUCCGGGAACUUUCAGAUGAUGCAACGUUGUUUUUAAUCAGCGAUCUGCACAAUGUAUUCAAAGGAUUCUCAUGGCAACGAUUGCAAUUGGUUGUGAGCUUCAUGUGAAAACACUUGUACUGAGUCUAGAAAUGGAGAGGCCUCGAAAUAUGUUCCCAUGGUUACACGUCCAUUGAAACAACCUCAGACAAUCACGGAUUUGAGGUCAAAAUUUUGGUUGCCAUGAUGACGAAAAGUUUCUUUGAGGAGUAAACUUAAGAGGACAACAAACUGAUGAUUAUUGUGUGCCAAUGUAUAAGCAAUAGGACAAAGUGAUUAUAAUUAUUGACGGUGUUCUUGCCUUGUAAAAUGUACUUAUAUAUAAAUAUAUAAAUAUAUACAAAUAAAUAUAUAUUAUUUACAGUCUCGGGAAAGUAGAGACGCGAUGUUACUGUGUCUCGUCUAUAUAGAUAUGAUUGAUGUUCAUAUGAUAUUAUUUGAUAUGAAUAUUCUGCAUGGUAGCAUGUUUAAUAGUCUGAUUUACCAAAUAGCAUAUGCUCUUGUACUUUAAUUCGUUUCGUUUUCAAUACUGUUGGUGAUUUGAUUAUACUAUUCUCUGUCAAACUGUUCUUUUUUUGUGCCCUCAGAACAGACACAUGAGAGUCCCCAUACCACUUGGAAGUCUACACAUCUUGCAAUCACUACAACAGUUGCUCUAUCAAAAUCUAUCUUCCCCUGAUAAAUUGAUAAUAUUCAGUCUUUAGUUUAGUGAUAUUAAAAAUGUUUCUUUUUGGUAAAAAACAACAGUUUGGAUUAUACAUAUACAGGCCACUCCGACUUGUAGUCGUGGUAUCGAAACAACAUUUCAGGAUUUUUGUUGAACACUAUAUGGGUCCAUGAUACUAAUUAGCACUUAAUCGUUAAAAAAUAUGUUUGCUUAUUCCGUUCCGAUUUUUUUCUCUCAGUUUCUAUAUUUGUCACCCAGACAAGUGACAGACGAAUAAUUUGAAUCGACUCCCAAAAUCUAAUUUUAUCACCGCUUAGUGUACGUUUUCAGCGGUAUUUCGCUGCUCGCACCUAAUCGCGUAUUACCGGUGGAUCACCGGGAGCGACGAAAACUUCUCCCAUUUUUAUUCUUCUAUAAUUCCCGCGCAAACUCCUCUCAUUGUCAGCCUUGCGGAGAUGCAGACGCUUUCUUAAGAGUUCCAAAGGAAGGAAAGAAGUCAGAGGAAAUAAGUCAAACGAAUCUCUUAAGAAAGAAAAUGCUUUCUUUGAAUUUGAGAGUAUUAAUGAUGACUGGGAAGGGACCGUCAGUGAGUCAGAGGCGGUGCGAUCCCCUUACUCUCCGCCACGGCGUCCCGAUGGCACCGGGAAGGAUGAAGGCGGCUUUUUAGACGGUAUCCGACUCCGUGCCUUAUUGUAUUUCAUUGCAUCAUCUCUGCUCUUAUGCUCUUCGUCUAUUUGAGUAUUUUUCUUCCCCAAGACGUUUCUUAUGUAAUGUUUACAAUAUCUUGAUCAAAACUUGGAAUAAAACAUGCAUUAUCCACUAUCUUUUAAAAUUAGUCAGAUUGUUUAUACAAAAAAGCUUAUACUGUAUGUGGAUGGUAAAAGCCAUGUUAAUGCACAUGCAUUUUAAUUAUGCUUUUAUAUAAUUGGUCAAAAUGAUUUUAGAUGAGACUACUUCGAUGACGUCGUGUUUCUUCGAGAAAAUGUUGGGUAUCAACCCUCCUCCCACGCUGGGGGCUCGUACAGUACUCGUUAACCCUUCCCUUUCCAUUCAAAUCACCCCCAAUCCAUCUAAAGUGAAUGCUACAAUUACCGAGAAGCAAUCGAUUAAUCCUCGUCACCCCUUUUCUCCUUCUAAGGGGAUAAAACAGAUUUCAAUCAAGGGAAGAGCGUUUUUAGAUGUAGAUAGCGACGAAAAUCAGUAAUCUCGAAGCCCCCUUCGACAUGACGCGAGGAAUUAAAUACAUCUUAUUUAUACAGAAAAUGAAGUAUUACACGACCUCAGUGUUAGCUUUGCAAUUUACGUCAGUCUGAGUAAGAUUGACUCAAUAUGGACAAUCUAUUGUCAAUAAACUUGAAGAGACGAUCAAAUUCUAGAUACGAAAUCAAUCCAAAACAUGAAGGGGAACGAUGUAGAAAAUAAGGCAGUUAUUGCGAAUCGUUUAAGAUCUCGGGGAUACAAUGAGGUGCAAGAUUUUUGAAAAUUCAAAAUGGCCGACCUUGUUUAUAUCACGUGGUUACUCAGUAACUGAACUGUACGAGAGUAACCCCAAUUAUUAAUCAAUUUCCUGAUCCGCUAAUCCUCUAUCCCUCUGAUUCAUACCACAAUUAUCAUUUUAUGGAUAUUUCUUUUUGAUCGAGUGAGGGAUUUGACAGUGUAGUAUAUCGCGAUAAAUCUCGUAUUGAAAAGUAUACUACGUUCGAUUUGGAGAUUUGGUUUUAGAUUCGAAGGCUUGUCUCCUCCUCAGCGAAUGUAGGCCGACUGAAUGAUUAACUGAGAGAAACGCCCAUGAAGUGUUUUAUAACUUCCCUUCUGAAGAAGACAACAUUGCCAUGAUUGCGCCAUUGGAGUUCAAUGAUCUGAUUCGGAUUUGAUCCUAUAUCUAACAUCAGCAUGUUUUGAGGGUUCAUUUAAGAGAGAGAUAUAUAUCUAUUGUAACUUUUCUAUUAGUGUAUCUUCCAUUGUUACCUCGGCUGUGAUUGGCUGAUCUGCCAUGUUACCAUGGUAUUAACCAUAAUGUUAAAGUUGCAAUAAUCUGAACUCUUAAUGAAACAGACACCAUGUUGAUGACUUUGAAAUUCAGUUUUAUACGAUAACUGUAAAAAUCAUGUAAAUUCAUCACGACGACAAUAUAAAAAUGUGCGCGUUCCUGUUUAUAAUCCUAUACGAAUCGGGUGGUCACGGGUGUGUACAUUGGAACUUGCUCGAACAGAAGACAUAUUCAUUAUAGUGUUUAUUGUCAGAACUGUUCAGCAAAGCUAUUGUCAAUGUACUUGCAAGACAAGGGAACUAUUUCACGCCAUCGUUAUGCGAUUGGUUGAAGCGAAUUUAAUGUAUGAAAUAUCAUUUAUGAAUAUUAAUAUUUGGUCACGCAAAAGAUUGGUAAAAAUGCACGCAAUUUUAUGACUGGACAGUGUACAAAUCGGGAUGGAUGGGGCGUCGUCACUGUAAUGAUUCAAAUAAAGGAAUAUUAUUUUUCUUUUUCACUGAGCAUUUAUAUAUUCACUGCUUUCGACCCCAAUUAGUAUUAUUUCGUAUUUGUAUUUUGUAUUUGUUUUUAAUGCAAGAACUAAACAAGGCGAACUGACAUCCAGUUUCCAUGUUCAUUAUUUGCAUUAUUACAUUACCUGAUUAGAAUGUGAUUAUUAAAGUAAGAUUCAAUAUUUCUGCCAUCACUUGUAUUUCUAUUCUGUAUUCUGGUGCUACGUAUAUAUUCAUCUACACGUGCCUUUCCAUGGUGCAUAAUGCUAUUCAAGAAACAAUAAUUUGUUUGAUUUGUUUUGAGUGGUUGAAGAAGGCCUAUAGGCUUACUCCCUUAUUCCAUAAUUAUGCCAUUAUUUCUUUUUAUAAUAUACAAUUUUACUAAAAGAUUUUUUGUAGGUAGCGUAUUCCUCUUAGCACUAGAACAUGUAGAAAGUGAACUCUACGCGCGCUGGAUCCUUUUGAAUUUUAUCAGAAUAAGAAUUGUUUUCAAAUAUCCUAUGUCAUUUCAACAGGACGAUAUUUAAUUUCUCAGUUUAAUAAAACGAUUUCUUCUUCCCAGAUACCAUAAGAUAUUAAUAAAGCCGUCCAGUUUAUACGCCAUUUUAAUUUUCGGAGUGAAGAGGGCAAUGUAUUGACUAUUGCGUAUUCAAAAAUAAUUGCAUGGAGACAUUAUUCAAACUCUCCGUGAUAAUGUGUAUUUAUAAUUUGCAAUGUCAGUCAUAAUGAAUGAUUUAUUGUUGAUGUACGUGUAUUCAUUUGUCUAUUUUGUACAGUGAGUUUAAAAGUAUAUAUGUCGGCAUUUGAUGGUAAUAAAAUCUCGCAAGGUUCUUUUUAUUAGUAUUUGUAAAUAAUUUACAAACAUUGUAUCUGUAUUUUGUACAAAGAAUACAAAUAAUUAAGGAUCAUACUUAUGCUUUCUUCUCUAGAAAGGAAAAUGUGUAUUUAUUUCGUAUGUCAUUGUAAGUUGGUCUUGAAUUAUAUUAUGAUUAAAAUGCCUGUUUGAGAUAUACAA